rnacentral:rRNA from 1 species
AACGAACGCUGGCGGCGUGCUUAACACAUGCAAGUCGAACGCGAAAGGGACUUCGGUCCCGAGUAGAGUGGCGCACGGGUGAGUAACGCGUAAGUAAUCUACCCCUGUAUCUGGAAUAACCCACCGAAAGGUGAGCUAAUACCGGAUACGUUUAUCUUGAUGCGAAUGAUGAUAAAGAAAGGUGGCCUCUUCAUGAAAGCUACUGUACAGGGAUGAGCUUGCGUACCAUUAGCUAGUUGGUAGGGUAAAGGCCUACCAAGGCGACGAUGGUUAGCGGGUCUGAGAGGAUGAUCCGCCACACUGGAACUGGAACACGGACCAGACUCCUAUGGGAGGCAGCAGUGAGGAAUAUUGCGCAAUGGGGGCAACCCUGACGCAGCGACGCCGCGUGGAUGAUGAAGGCCCUUGGGUCGUAAAAUCCUGUCAGAUGGAAAGAAAUGUAUAGCAGCUAACAUCUGUUAUAUUUGACGGUACCAUCAAAGGAAGCACCGGCUAACUCCGUGCCAGCCGCCGCGGUAAUAC